GAUCCUGGCUCAGGAUGAACGCUAGCGACAGGCUUAACACAUGCAAGUCGAGGGGCAGCACAGGGUAGCAAUACUUGGGUGGCGACCGGCGCACGGGUGAGUAACGCGUAUGCAACUUACCUAUCAGAGGGGGAUAGCCCGGCGAAAGUCGGAUUAAUACCCCAUGAAACAGGGGUCCCGCAUGGGAAUAUUUGUUAAAGAUUCAUCGCCGAUAGAUAGGCAUGCGUUCCAUUAGGCAG
rnacentral:rRNA from 1 species